AGGUUCGUAGUGAACGUGGGAAGGAUCAUUACUGAACUGUCGACACGAGUUGUUGCUGGUCCUCAAACGGGGGCAUGUGCACGCUCUGUUUACACACCCACUCACACCUGUGCACCCUCUGUAGUUCUGUGGUGUGGGGGACUCUGUCCUCCCGCUGUGGUUCUAUGUCUUUACACACACACUGUAAUAAAGUCUUAUGGAAUGUGUACCGCGUCUAACGCAAUACAAUACAACUUUCAGCAACGGAUCUCUUGGCUCUCGCAUCGAUUAAGAACGCAGCGAAAUGCGAUAAGUAAUGUGAAUUGCAAAUUCAGUGAAUCAUCGAAUCUUUGAACGCACCUUGCGCCCUUUGGCUAUUCCGAAGGGCAUGCCUGUUUGAGUAUCAUGAACACCUCAACUCUCAUGGCUUGCCAUGAUGAGCUUGGACUUUGGGGGUCUUGCUGGCCUACAGCCAGCUCCUCUCAAUGAAUCAGCUUGCCAGUGUUUGGUGGGAUCGCAGGUGUGAUAACUAUCUACGCUUGUGGCUUUCCACCAGGUAACCUUCAGUGAUGGAGGUUCGCUGGAGCUCAUAAAAUGUCCCUCCUCAAGCGAAGGGACCAGCUUCUUUUACAUGUUGGAUCUCACAUCAGGUAGGACUACCCGGUUGAAACUUAGCCUUAUCAAUAGCGGCAGGAAAAGAAACUAAACAAGGAUUCCCNUUGUAACUGGCAAGUGAAGCGGGAAGAGCUCAAUUUAAAUCUGGCGUGCCCCUGGUCCGUCGAUUGUAGCGGGAAACGUUC
rnacentral:rRNA from 1 species